rnacentral:lncRNA from 1 species
GGUCACUCUAUGGAUUUUAGAUUUUUUCUUAAAGUAUCUGCUUGCAUAAGUAUAGUGGUUUAAAACUGAGUUAAAAGGUUAGAUGACCAGUGUGUAUUUAAGUAGAUGGGUAGACUGUUUCCUCUCUAUGCCACAAGGGGAUUCCGAGAAAGCAGUUUGUUGUAUAUUUUUGGCUCUGACCUUGACUCUGGUUGUGGCCUAUAGUCUAGAUGGGUGUAAACUACAGUUUGCAUACAAUAUAUCAAACAAAUCCAACAGUUUUAUUUUCUGGGGCUGCUGGUGCUGUAAAUCUGCAAUAGAGAGCCCAGUGGGGAAGGCGAACUUUCCACAAGCAGACCCAGCUGGAACGGAGCUCCUCAAAACCUUUUAGAAUGAGACUUGGCAGCAGCAUCGAGCUACCCUGGAUGAAUUUUUAACGCAACAGCGUUGAAGGACAUGUAGUUUAAUGGGUUAGAAAACUUCUUUCUUUCCUCCGUCUCAUCUUUCUCUGUGCCAGCAGUGCUCAUAGGAGACUUCGAAAUGGACUCAUGAGGACCAAUUGUGUUGCAUCCACUUUAAUCUCCAAGAUAUUUUUUUAACUGAAAUUUUUUUCUCAUUUACUGCUGUUUGAUUUGAUCAUUAUCGCUCAUUUCUGUACUUCUAUUUGAUUAAUUGCCUUUCUACCAAUCAGACCAUUUUCAUUCAACGGGCACUAUGCAGAUUUCCCCCCUUGAUGGAACUCCAGUCCAUCACAGAUCAUUGAUUAAUCAUAAUUAUAUUUGACUAAGUCCUCCCAGGAUGGUCAAUACAUCCACUACACACAAACCUGUAUGUUUAGAACAUGCACUCAAUGGAACAAAUCUUUUUAUUCAAAUUUAGACACCGUGAAUUUAUUAUGUUCACCCAAUUUGGAACUGCCAAUUGUGUGAUUUUUCACAUCUCAGCUCGCAGCUACGUUCUUCACAACCAUGCACGGGGGGAAGGAGAUAGUAUGGGCAGUGUCCUCUGACCCAGCCACCUUUGAGACAGCCAUCUUUUAACAUGUCACAGGCAGCACAUCCCCAAGCAUGAGGUUCACUGCUGAUCACACAUGUACUUCUCUCUUCUUGUAUGGUAUUCAGGUUGAUGUGCAGUAAGUUUGCAAUUUGUUGGACUCCAUCAACAUAUUGCUCUGUUAUAAUGCAGGUGUAAGUCACUGUAGAUAAAGCCGUGUACCAAACAAUAAAAAAUGUGUAUGUAAGAUGCCAGAGUUGUA